rnacentral:lncRNA from 1 species
ACCCGGCCGCUGCUGCGGUCCGGACGGCAGUUGGUCCAGUAGUUUCGGAUGCCCGGGCUAGGCUCGGCGGAGAGCGAGUCGGCGUGAAUGAGAGCAAACCAACAGGGCUGUGCGUGGCGCGUAAAGAAGUGUUGAAGAAGAGAGAGACAGAAGAAAAUCACCAUAAAAAGUCAGACACGAGAGCUUAGAAGUCAAUUAAGACAGGGCUUGGAAGGGGCAUUAGGUUUUUGGGGAACCGGUGUUACAUGACUCAGAACAAGGGAAAAAGAGUCAGCUGUAAUUAAGAUGCAAAGACUAAAUCUCAAUCCUCUGGGCGCUGACGGCAGUGUCUGAGGUAGCAGUCUCUGAAGUAUUUGUGCAUGACUGAAGAAACCUUAUGAUGGGGAAAGAUUUGAAGGCAGGGGGCAGUGGAUAAGUUCAUGGGACUGGAUAGUGAUUGACUUUUGAGUGGCCUUCCUCAAAGCAUGGUCUGAAGACCACUGCAUCAGGAUCACCAGAGCCUCUUGUUGAAAAUAAAAAAAAAACACCUCUGUUUGCAUCUGUAGACAAAGAUCUGUUCAGAAUGGUUGGCUUUGUGAGUUUACAGCUGGCCGAUGAGAGGUGCUGCAUGAUAUUGGAAGAUGGGACAGAAGGAACCAGUAUUCUGCAGAGGCAGUUGCAUGAGCAGAUAUGAAAUGUCCUGGAGGCUCCCCCAGUAAGCUGAGAAGCACCUGCUUUCCCACUAUAGACUGAGACCACUGAUGGAAGCUUCCCAGAGAUUUGAGAAUUGCAGAAGCUUCUGUGAGCUAUGAAGAACAACGUGACUUUGACCUUCAGACUGAGAUAUAGCUGGAGGCUGCUUUGACCUUCUUUCCCACAGCUCUUUUGACCUUUCUAAAGCCCCAAACCCUAUCUUAAAAAUGACAAAUAUGGAAUGCAAAGAGCAGCUUUUCUUUUUCUGAUCAUGGCCUUAAUGUAAUACAAUAGUGAAACCGUCUAGCAUAGUGAUUAAGAACAUUGGCUGUAGAAUUAGACAUAUUUAGUUUAGCAUUUUGAUUCUACCCCAAACUGGCAAAGUUACUGAAUGUAUCUAAAUUUUAAUUUGCUCA